AGAGUUUGAUCCUGGCUCAAGAUGAACGCUAGCGGCAGGCUUAAUACAUGCAAGUCGAGGGGCAGCGCAGUGUAGCAAUACAUGGGCGGCGACCGGCAAACGGGUGCGGAACACGUACGCAACCUUCCUUCAAAUGGGGCAUAGCCUUUCGAAAGAGAGAUUAAUACCCCGUAAGAUUUUCUGGUGGCAUCACUGGAUUAUUAUAGCUCCGGCGUUUGAAGAUGGGCGUGCGGCUGAUUAGGUAGUUGGCGGAGUAACAGCCCACCAAGCCAACGAUCAGUAACUGGUGUGAGAGCACGACCAGUCACACGGGCACUGAGACACGGGCCCGACUCCUACGGGAGGCAGCAGUAAGGAAUAUUGGUCAAUGGACGCAAGUCUGAACCAGCCAUGCCGCGUGGAGGAUGAAGGUCCUCUGGAUUGUAAACUUCUUUUAUCGGAGAAGAAACCCUAGCAUUCCUGCUGGGUUGACGGUACCCGAUGAAUAAGCACCGGCUAACUCCGUGCCAGCAGCCGCGGUAAUACGGAGGGUGCAAGCGUUAUCCGGAUUCACUGGGUUUAAAGGGAGCGUAGGUGGGUUGGUAAGUCAGUGGUGAAAUCUCCGGGCUUAACUCGGAAACUGCCGUUGAUACUAUCAAUCUUGAAUAUUGUGGAGGUAAGCGGAAUAUGUCAUGUAGCGGUGAAAUGCUUAGAUAUGACAU
rnacentral:rRNA from 1 species